GAUGAACGCUGGCGGCGUGCCUAAUACAUGCAAGUCGAGCGAACGGACGAGAAGCUUGCUUUUCUGAUGUUAGCGGCGGACGGGUGAGUAACACGUGGAUAACCUACCUAUAAGACUGGGAUAACUUCGGGAAACCGGAGCUAAUACCGGAUAAUAUUUUGAACCGCAUGGUUCAUAAGUGAAAGACGGUCUUGCUGUCACUUAUAGAUGGAUCCGCGCUGCAUUAGCUAGUUGGUAAGGUAACGGCUUACCAAGGCAACGAUGCAUAGCCGACCUGAGAGCAUGAGCAGCCACACUGGGACUGAGACAGGGCCCAGACGCCGACGGGAGGCAGCAGGGGGGAAUAUUGGACAAUGGGCGAAAGCCUGAUACAGCAAUGCCGGGUGAGUGAUGAAGGCGUUAGGGUUGUAAAGCUCUUUUACCCGGGAUGAUAAUGACAGUACCGGGAGAAUAAGCUCCGGCUAACUCCGU
rnacentral:rRNA from 1 species